rnacentral:rRNA from 1 species
AGCGAACGCUGGCGGCAGGCCUAACACAUGCAAGUCGAGCGCCCCGCAAGGGGAGCGGCAGACGGGAGAGUAACACGUGGGAACGUACCCUUUGGUUCGGAACAACCCAGGGAAACUUGG